rnacentral:lncRNA from 1 species
UCCUCCUAUUUAAGCCUUGACGUCGCUGCUAUGCUAAAGUUCUAAAUCCAGUCAACUCCAAAUGUGAACACCACAAUUAGCCUGUGUUGAGCCCUAAAUAGGCCCAUGCUGCAGUAUCCCCAAAUCGACAUGGGCCACCAGCUGAGUCCACUUUGUUACCAUUUAUAAUAAUCUAAGAUCUUAUCCAAAAAGGUUAGCUGGAAGAUAUUAUUAGCAUUCUUUGGCCUUGUAUAAAUAUGCAAGGUUUUUUUAGCACAUAACUGAUACGGAGCCAGACAAACACCUCCACGGGUUCUCACAAUAUGAAUGGAUUUGAUCCAUUGGGAACAAUUAUCCUGCAGAAAUGUGAGUGUGAUUUUUUUCCGUCUUUUGUGAUUCUUUAAUGCUGUCCCUCUUUAUGCCUUCUUGCCUCGACAGACAUAUCCACAUGCAAAAAUUUUAGCUGUGGAGCCUCUUGAUUGAACCUGUCAAGAGCAUGCCUUUGCAUAAUUCUAGCCUCAGUCUGGGUUCAGGCAUUAUUUCUAGCUGACGUAAAGCCUUGGAGCUCACUCAUAUGUGGUGGUCUUAUUGGUCCUUGCUACACCUUAUAUGUUUUUUUAUAAACUUUGCUCAUUAAACUGGUAUUAACUAUUUUUAGACCAUUUCACAUAUGGAUUAUCUUCAUUAAACAGAUUGUAAUUAUCAUUGACACUAUGCUUGGUCACCUCUCUAACGGCAAGUAUUGCAAUUUGUUAAUUAAACACCCUACAGGUUUAAGUUUUACUUGGUUUCAUUGUCAAAACCUUCGUUGACCUGGUCCUUAGAAGACCUCCGUAGUGUUAUGUGCUCUAGGGAGAUUGUCAGGUUCCAUUUUCUCUCAUGCAGUUUCUUAUGUGAUUAUGGCCCUCUCUGUUUACAGAGUGGCCUUGGCUUCAACAAGGGUGUAAAGUUGGCGAGCAAGUCGUAGCAUUGGCAAGAAUUAUCAAUGAUACAGAUAUGGAUCUUGAAUCUGGUGUCUCACUAGUAUGUUACCUUCCAAGUUGUAUUAUGUUAGUUGCCAGAAGCACCAUCCAUGAUUUCAUUUUCGUAAUGAUAGGAAAAGAGAAGGAAAUGUUUGGUUGAGGGGGCGGGGGGGAAUAAUUUUACUGCUCAUCUUACAGUUUGCAUGUGUUCUAGAAUUCUACAUUUAUGUUUGUCCAGAUUUUAGAAGUAGCACUUCCAUGUCAGAUUUCUUCGUAAGUAAUGAACUCUUUUUCUUGCUGGGCAAGAAAAAUUACAGCAACCAUCCUAGUAAAAUUUUCUGCUUGAGAAAUCAGAGAAGCUGCAUCUAUUGAACAGCUCACAUGGCUUCUGCCCAAUUCGAGGAUUGUAUUUUGCCUUUAUGCAUUGUAUAUGUUUUAUUACUUCAACCUCAUUCAUUUCAUUUCUGGCCAUUAAGCUCAGAUAUUUGGCAUUCAGAGUAAGGGCAUGUGAAGAUGAAAAGAAUU